rnacentral:sRNA from 1 species
ACUACUCGCUCUCCAGUCUCGCCUCCCGACUUCCUUCUGCGCGCCUCGUAAAACCGGGGAAGUUCAAUCAUUCCGCAGCGAGCCGCGGCGGCCGCACUGGGCAUGCUCAGUCUCCGGGCUCCGCUCGGCAGGCAAGAGGCUUUCUCCGGCUCUGGGCUCCGGUCAGUGGGUGCCUGGGCUCGGCUUUCCCCGGCGCUGGCUGGGCACAGCGGUCCCUGAGCCCAAGCGACACACGCCCCACGGUCUCCGAUCCGGCCCCUGGGAGAGCCGCGCCGUUCUGGAACCCAAGAGCCCCCAACUUCGCGCCAAGUUCGGAGCCGUCUUCUGAGGGAGACAUGAAAAAGAUGAGCAGAAAUGUUUUGCUACAAAUGGAGGAGGAGGACGACGACGACGAUGGGGAUAUCGGAAGAAUUUAAUGGAAAACCUGACUCCCUCUUUUUUAAUGAUGGCCAGCGAAGAAUUGACUUUGUUCUAGUAUAUGAGGAUGAAAGCAGAAAAGAGACCAAUAAAAAGGGUACAAAUGAAAAACAAAGGAGGAAAAGACAAGCAUAUGAAUCUAACCUUAUCUGUCAUGGCCUGCAGUUAGAAGCAACAAGAUCAGUAUUGGAUGACAAGCUUGUAUUUGUAAAAGUACACGCACCAUGGGAGGUGUUAUGUACGUAUGCUGAAAUAAUGCACAUCAAAUUGCCUCUGAAACCCAAUGAUCUGAAAAACCGGUCCUCAGCCUUUGGUACACUCAACUGGUUUACCAAAGUCCUUAGUGUAGAUGAAAGCAUCAUCAAGCCAGAGCAAGAGUUUUUCACUGCCCCAUUUGAGAAGAACCGGAUGAAUGAUUUUUACAUAGUUGAUAGAGAUGCCUUCUUCAAUCCAGCCACCAGAAGCCGCAUUGUUUACUUCAUCCUCUCUCGAGUCAAGUAUCAAGUGAUAAACAAUGUUAGCAAGUUUGGGAUCAACAGACUUGUAAACUCUGGGAUCUACAAGGCAGCUUUCCCACUCCAUGAUUGCAAAUUCCGCCGUCAGUCAGAGGAUCCCAGCUGCCCUAAUGAACGGUACCUUCUGUACAGAGAAUGGGCUCAUCCUCGAAGCAUAUACAAAAAGCAGCCCUUGGAUCUUAUCAGGAAAUACUAUGGAGAAAAGAUUGGAAUCUACUUUGCUUGGCUGGGCUAUUACACUCAGAUGCUUCUCCUGGCUGCAGUUGUAGGAGUGGCUUGCUUUCUCUAUGGAUAUCUUAAUCAAGAUAACUGUACAUGGAGCAAAGAAGUUUGUCAUCCUGAUAUUGGUGGCAAGAUCAUAAUGUGUCCUCAGUGUGAUAGGCUUUGUCCAUUCUGGAAACUCAAUAUUACUUGCGAGUCCUCAAAGAAAUUGUGCAUCUUUGACAGUUUUGGAACCCUGGUCUUUGCAGUAUUUAUGGGAGUAUGGGAUCCAUAGAAAGCAACUUCUCAUUCCUUCAAGUUUGAUCAUGAGACUACAGCAGUUCAGUCACAUCUUCAGGCUCCAUUUCUAGUUCCUCUUGCUCUUUCUACCACAUCUGCAGUGACUUCCUCCACUGAAGUCUUGAACUUCUCAAAGUCAUCCAUGAGGGUUACCUUGUUUUUGGAGUUUUGGAAGCGACGCCAGGCAGAACUUGAGUAUGAAUGGGAUACUGUUGAGUUACAGCAGGAAGAACAAGCCCGACCAGAAUACGAAGCACGAUGUACUCACAUAGUGAUAAAUGAGAUUACUCAGGAAGAAGAACGCAUUCCCUUUACUGCCUGGGGAAAAUGUAUACGGAUAACCCUCUGUGCCAGUGCUGUCUUUUUCUGGAUUCUAUUGAUCAUUGCUUCAGUUAUUGGGAUCAUUGUCUAUAGGCUCUCGGUGUUCAUUGUAUUUUCUGCAAAACUUCCCAAGAACAUUAAUGGAACAGACCCAAUCCAGAAGUACCUGACUCCACAGACAGCCACGUCCAUCACGGCCUCCAUCAUCAGCUUUAUAAUUAUCAUGAUUCUGAACACCAUAUAUGAAAAAGUGGCAAUUAUGAUUACUAACUUUGAACUCCCAAGGACCCAGACUGAUUAUGAGAACAGCCUCACCAUGAAGAUGUUCUUAUUCCAGUUUGUCAACUACUACUCUUCAUGCUUCUACAUAGCAUUCUUUAAGGGCAAAUUUGUAGGCUAUCCAGGAGACCCAGUUUACUGGUUGGGAAAAUACAGAAAUGAAGAGUGUGACCCAGGUGGCUGUCUUCUUGAACUGACAACUCAGCUGACAAUAAUCAUGGGAGGAAAAGCAAUCUGGAAUAACAUACAAGAAGUAUUAUUGCCCUGGAUCAUGAAUCUAAUUGGGCGAUUUCACAGAGUUUCUGGAUCAGAAAAGAUAACCCCACGAUGGGAACAGGACUACCAUCUGCAGCCUAUGGGCAAACUGGGAUUAUUUUAUGAAUAUCUUGAAAUGAUUAUUCAGUUUGGGUUCGUCACCUUAUUUGUGGCCUCUUUUCCACUGGCCCCUCUGUUGGCUCUGGUGAACAAUAUAUUGGAAAUAAGAGUGGACGCAUGGAAACUGACCACCCAGUUUAGACGCCUGGUACCAGAGAAGGCCCAAGACAUUGGAGCAUGGCAGCCCAUCAUGCAAGGAAUAGCAAUUCUGGCUGUGGUGACCAAUGCCAUGAUCAUUGCUUUCACAUCGGACAUGAUCCCCCGCCUAGUGUACUACUGGUCCUUCUCCGUCCCUCCCUACGGGGACCACACUUCCUACACCAUGGAAGGGUACAUCAACAACACUCUGUCCAUCUUCAAAGUCGCAGACUUC